ACACACUCAUGACUUAUUUUGGACAACACCUUGUCCAUGAAGGGAAAAAUAGCAAGGGCCACAGUUAACAGUCAUACUAACUUAUGGAAAGUCACA